rnacentral:rRNA from 1 species
CCUACGGGGAGCAGCAGUGGGGAAUAUUGCACAAUGGGGGGAACCCUGAUGCAGCGACGCCGCGUGAGUGAAGAAGUAUUUCGGUAUGUAAAGCUCUAUCAGCAGGGAAGAAAAUGACGGUACCUGACUAAGAAGCCCCGGCUAACUACGUGCCAGCAGCCGCGGUAAGACGUAGGGGGCAAGCGUUAUCCGGAUUUACUGGGUGUAAAGGGAGCGCAGACGGCUGUGCAAGUCUGGAGUGAAAGGCGGGGGACCAACCCCCGGACUGCUCUGGAAACUGUAAAGCGGGAGGGCAGGAGAGGUAAGCGGAAUUCCUAGUGUAGCGGUGAAAUGCGUAGAUAUUAGGAGGAACACCAGUGGCGAAGGCGGCUGACUGGACUGCAACUGACGUUGAGGCUCGAAAGCGUGGGGAGCAAACAGGAUUAGAUACCCGUGUAGUC